rnacentral:rRNA from 1 species
GAUGAACGCUGGCGGCGUGCCUAAUACAUGCAAGUCGAGCGAACAGACGAUGAGCUUGCUCCUUUGACGUUAGCGGCGGACGGGUGAGUAACACGUGUAUCACCUACCUAUAAUACUGGUAUCACUUCGGGAAACCGGAGCUUAUACCGUAUAAGAUAUUGAACCGCAUUGUUGAAUAGUGAAAUACGGUUUUUCUGUCUCUUCUAGAUGGAUCCGGGCCGCAUGAGAUGGCUGGUAAGGUAACGGGUUACCAAGGCAACCAUGCGUAGCCGACGUGAGAGGCUGAUAGCCGGCAUGAGAGCGUGGCCGCGGACAAGAGUACUGAGGGAGGCACCAGUAGGGAAUCGUACGCAAUGGGCGGAAACAUGGCGGAACGACGCCGCGUGAGUGAUGGAGGUGUUCGGAUCGUAAAACUCUGUUAUUAGGGAAGAACCAAUGUGUAAGUAGAUGAGGACGUCUUGACGGUAACUAGUAAGAAAGCAACGGCUAACUACGUG